UUUUGUUCCUUAGUGGUUCAGGAGAGGAGUCUUUUUAACUCUGUAAAAAACAUCAACAAGCUGAAAAAAAACAAAACCAAAUAUUUUUUGUGGUGUAAUGUAAUCUUGUUAAAACAGAUUUCAUAAAAUUGGUACAGAAAAAAAGGAUUGUUCAGGAACCAGCAUCAGUAUUGGUAUCAAAUCCAAAAUUUUUGAAUGAUACCUAGCCCUGUCUGUGGCUCAUAGAGCAUUUCCUUCGAGAAUCGUACUUUACUGUUCACGCUGUACGUGUCUGAUUCACACGAAAGAAAGAAACCCUUUUUCUUCAUUUGUCGUGAAGAGAGUCCUUUACUUGAGAUUUGGACUUUACUGGUGGUACUCUGUUUUUCAUUAAUUGAAAAGAACUGGAUCAUGUGAGUCUAUUACUUCAGAAUAUAACUUUACUGGUUGCACUGUAUGUUUUUGAUUCACUAAAACGAGCCAUUUUCUUGUGCUAAAUGGAAAUGGAAUAAUUCCAGGGACGUAUUAAUAUAAUUGAAUGUCUUGAAAAUCAUUUGGUUCUGUUAUUUUAUUGAAGUGAUUCUUGGUUCCCAACCCUACACCUCUAUCACUCUUUAUCACCUUUUAGCUUCUCAAACCCAAGUCGGAUGUCACACCAUAGGAUUCUCUCAAUCUCAUUUAAUCUCUGGCAUUUUUCAGAGAAUUAGACAUGUCCAUGCAGAACAUGGAUGAAAGUUUUCUUCCCCUCCUCUAAACAAAGUAUUUUUCUCAAACCCAUUAUAUAUGUUUCCCAGCAGACUCGUGUAGUUAACUUGUGGUUUAUCUUGUCAUUCAGCUUCCAACUUCAGUCUUAUUUUUUUAAGGUUCCCUUUAGAGGGGUUAUUAUUAGCACUAAAAGUUCAUCAAAACUCUAAAGUUGGGUAAAUAUUGGUUGAACAUUUAGAUAAUGAUAGCUUGCUAUGCUAAUAUAACAAUUUUCAAUUUUGGAGCAAAUUAUUUGGGGCCUUAGGUCAAACCUGGGACUUUGAUUCAAAUGAAAUACAUGAACUAAUGAUAUAGUAUAAAUGUAAAAUGUAUGGCUAAACUUUUCACCCUUCUUCUGAAAGUAAAGUUUUUGUGCCUUAUUUGUCCUCUUGGUUGCUCAUGAAAUGAAAAUAUGUGGAUGAACAUACAUUUACUGCCAAUAAAAGCCAUGUAAAUGUUAAUAAACUCUUUAGUGACUCCUUUCCCUUAUAUAAAACUCUCUCCACACCCUUCUUAUAGUCACUUUCUUUCAGUAUCUCGGUUUAGAACGAGUGUAUAUGGGACUGAGGACUGAGUUUUGCCAGCCCUCAUAAUUCAAAGUUAAGCUUAUCAUGGCUGAGUGGCUUUUUAUCCAGGACUUGUUCGCAGUCGGCGCUGUUUCUAAUCCUCUCCACACGUAGGUCUGUGUCCCCUCAAUGUGCGUUUCUUUCUGAGGAAAUUUCCAUAGCAAUACCACAUAGUGCAGGGUGUUUCUUAUGAAAAGUGUCAGAAUGAAACCGAGAAGUAGCACGGUGGAGAACAGAAUUUAAUAGUAAAACAAUAAUAAGCGUGUGCUCUGUUUAUUUUAAUGAUGAUUUGAAUAUAGUAAAUAUGUGAUAUAUUGAUUAUGAGCUGUUUUAACAUUUCAAAUAAGAUGACAGUAUGAAAGGGUUUAAAUGUGUGGAGGCUGAUCAUAAACGAGGCAAAGACUUCAGUGUCACUUGUAAGAGUCACUUGCCGUUGCUUGGAACAAUAAUAUGACUGUUACUGAAUCAUAUCCUGUUUAAUUUGAAUGGCAUGACAGAGUGAGUGAAAGACAAUGAGAGAGCGAGAGAUAAAGAGUGCAAUAGUCACGAGUCUCUAUAGUGAUAUCACAUUUACACUGAAAUAAGCCAUCAAGUUUGUCAUAUCUGGUAUAAUUAAAAAUCAUACCAAACAAAUUAUGGAUUUGUUGUAAUUUUUUUUUCACCUGCUCAGAAUGAGGUUUUUGUCUGGGUGCUGUUUAAUCUCUUGAUCUUGUUCUUACCCCAGUAAAAAGUAAUAUAUUUAAAAUAUAUUUAUUUCAUACUAAGUAUAGUACAGAUCUAUUGACAUAUUUACUGGCAUAUAGCUUCAGACUUACUGAUAUAAACAUCAUAAUUAAACUUUAUUUGGAGUAUUACUUGUGCACAAUGCACAUUUCUUAAUAUUAAGCCUAAAAUAUGUUUUAAUGUCACUAUUGAUGAGGAUUUUAUGAUCUUUUAAUAAUAUCUGUCUUUAAAUGCAAGAUAUUUAAAGUGUACUUGAAGUAUACUUGCAAAACCACCACUUUAGCACAAUCAAAUAUACUUCAGUAUAUCUUUUUCUUCUUUUGGACUUCAGCACUGCUUCCGCACAAUUAAAGUGUAUUAUGUACAAAAUUAAAUGUUCCAAUUUUCCAAUCUAUUAUUUUUAGCUUUCUAUUAAUCAAAGAACUUGGAAAAACUGCAUUUCAAUUUUUACAAAAAGCAGCACAACUUUUUUAACAUUGAUAAUAAUAAAAAAAAAAAAAAAAAAAAAAGUUUCUUGAGCACCAGAUCAGCAUGUAAGAAUGAUUUCUUAAGGAUCAUGUGACACCAAAGACUGACUACAUACCAAAUAAAUAAAUGCGUGUUGAACUAUUGAUUUGAGUUUCAUUAAUUGUUAUGUGAGUAGACAGACCAGAGUUACAUGAGGGAUGUGUGUAGCUUAGACUUACAGUCAAUAACAUCUAAGUAUAUUUAUUGCAGUAUAUGUAGGUGUAAAAUGAAAUGGUAGAGGCCAUAUUACAUACAAUGCAGAGAGGUCAGAGCAUCACACAUCUUUCUUAUAUACAACACACAUGACCAAUUGCGAGGCCAGUAAUAGUUAAACUUUUGACCUGUAUAACGGUUAAAUGUGGCCUGCAACCUGUGACAGUUAAUGCAUCAGGAUAUUUCUCAAGUGUAAUGUAGACCUGCUUUUGUAUCCAUAGCAACAGGUCUUAAUGCACCGUUAUCCUGCAGAUGUCACAAGGGUGAUGUUUACCAUAUAGUUGCAAUGCUGUGCUUUAGUUUGUCUCGGCUUUCAAUCUUGAUGCUUUGACGGUGGCCUAAUGGAGGUCUUUCCCUCACAAUGCUUUCUCUUGAUCCUUCAAUGCUAAAAAAAAAAAAAAACUCUGAGUUUUUAUAUUUGUAUUUGGUCUGUGUUAUGCUGCCAUAUGAAAAGCUGUUAAUCUUGGGCCAAUAGCUUAAAAGGGAGCACUUAAGUCAACUUUAGUUUGUAGGAUUUCAUUUUAUAACUUCAGAACAGCAGUAUUACAAAGGGUGCAUUGCAUAUGUUGAAACAUUAAAUCAGAAUACAGAAUUUUUUUUUAUUAUUAUUACUAUUCUUUAAGACUACGAUGAUCUUUAGGGGAGAUGGGAGAGUGUUGUAACUUACAGGACAAAAAAACUGAAGUAGAAACAUACAUUUUCCAUCUGAAUUCUAAUUUGAAUUGUGAUGUUAACGCAUGUUAGAUAACAGAACAAAGAUUAAACAAAAUGGGACAGUAUAGACCUGCAUUUGCCACAAUUAUGAGUAAUUAUCACACACACACACACGUUUGUUUUUGUGAAAAGUGGGGACAUCCCAUAGGCGUAAUGGUUUUUAUACUGUACAAACUGUAUGUGCUAUUGCCCUACACCAACCCUACACCUAAACCUACCACUUACAGGAAACUUUGUGCUAUUUCAGAUUUUCAAUACACUCCGUUCUGUGUGAUUUAUAAGCGUUUUGAAGAGUGGGGACAUGGGGUAAUGUCCUGAAAAGUCACCUUCUCCUUGUAAUACCUAUGUCA